rnacentral:rRNA from 1 species
UGGGGAAUUUUGGACAAUGGGGGCAACCCUGAUCCAGCAAUGCCGCGUGUGUGAAGAAGGCCUUCGGGUUGUAAAGCACUUUUGUCCGGGAAGAAAUCGCACCUGAUAAUACCGGGUGUGGAUGACGGUACCGGAAGAAUAAGGACCGGCUAACUACGUGCCAGCAGCCGCGGUAAUACGUAGGGUCCAAGCGUUAAUCGGAAUUACUGGGCGUAAAGCGUGCGCAGGCGGUUGUGCAAGACCGAUGUGAAAUCCCCGGGCUUAAACUGGGAAUUGCAUUGGUGACUGCACGGCUAGAGUGUGUCAGAGGGGGGUAGAAUUCCACGUGUAGCAGUGAAAUGCGUAGAGAUGUGGAGGAAUACCGAUGGCGAAGGCAGCCCCCUGGGAUAACACUGACGCUCAUGCACGAAAGCGUGGGGAGCAAACAGG